rnacentral:rRNA from 1 species
GUGUCAGCAGCCGCGGUAAUACAGAGGUGGCAAGCGUUGUUCGGAAUUACUGGGCGUAAAGGGCGCGUAGGCGGCCUUCUAAGUCGGACGUGAAAGCCCCAGGCUUAACCUGGGAACUGCGUCCGAUACUGGGAGGCUUGGAUUCGGGAGAGGGAUGUGGAAUUCCAGGUGUAGCGGUGAAAUGCGUAGAUAUCUGGAGGAACACCGGUGGCGAAGGCGGCAUCCUGGACCGAGAUCGACGCUGAGGCGCGAAAGCUAGGGGAGCAAACGGGAUUAGAAACCCCCGUAGUCC